rnacentral:rRNA from 1 species
AUUGAACGCUGGCGGCAGGCCUAACACAUGCAAGUCGAACGGGAACAGAAAGCAGCUUGCUGCUUUGCUGACGAGUGGCGGACGGGUGAGUAAUGUCUGGGAAACUGCCUGAUGGAGGGGGAUAACUACUGGAAACGGUAGCUAAUACCUCAUAACGUCGCAAGACCAAAGAGGGGGACCUUCGGGCCUCUUGCCAUCGGAUGUGCCCAGAUGGGAUUAGCUUGUUGGUGGGGUAACGGCUCACCAAGGCGACGAUCCCUAGCUGGUCUGAGAGGAUGAACAGCCACACUGGAACUGAGACACGGUCCAGACUCCUACGGGAGGCAGCAGUGGGGAAUAUUGCACAAUGGGCGCAAGCCUGAUGCAGCCAUGCCGCGUGUAUGAAGAAGGCCUUCGGGUUGUAAAGUACUUUCAGCGGGGAGGAAGGGAGUAAAGUUAAUACCUUUGCUCAUUGACGUUACCCGCAGAAGAAGCACCGGCUAACUCCGUGCCAGCAGCCGCCGUAA